rnacentral:rRNA from 1 species
CCUACGGGCGGCAGCAGUGGGGAAUAUUGCACAAUGGGGGAAACCCUGAUGCAGCGACGCCGCGUGAAGGAAGAAGUAUUUCGGUAUGUAAACUUCUAUCAGCAGGGAAGGAAAUGACGGUACCUGACUAAGAAGCCCCGGCUAACUACGUGCCAGCAGCCGCGGUAAUACGUAGGGGGCAAGCGUUAUCCGGAUUUACUGGGUGUAAAGGGAGCGUAGGCGGCGAUGCAAGUCAGAAGUGAAAGCCCGGGGCUCAACUCCGGGACUGCUUUUGAAACUGUGUUGCUAGAUUGCAGGAGAGGUAAGUGGAAUUCCUAGUGUAGCGGUGAAAUGCAUAGAUAUCACACAGAACACCGAUUGCGAAGGCAUCUCACGAAUCCGCGAUUGACGCUGAUGCACGAAAGCGUGGGUAUCAAACAGGAUUAGAUACCCCUGUAGUC